UACGGAGGGUGCAAGCGUUAUCCGGAUUUACUGGGUUUAAAGGGUGCGUAGGUGGAUAAGUAAGUCAGUGGUGAAAUCUCCGGGCUUAACCCGGAAACUGCCAUUGAUACUAUUUGUCUUGAAUACUUUGGAGGUAAGCGGAAUAUGUCAUGUAGCGGUGAAAUGCUUAGAUAUCAGGAGGAACACCUGCGGUGUAGACGGCUUACUGGACCAUAACUGACGCUGAGGCACGAAAGCGUGGGUAGCAAACAGG
rnacentral:rRNA from 1 species